rnacentral:rRNA from 1 species
UGGGGAAUAUUGGACAAUGGGCGCAAGCCUGAUCCAGCCAUGCCGCGUGUGUGAAGAAGGCUUUCGGGUUGUAAAGCACUUUCAUCAGUGAGGAAAGGUUAGUAGUUAAUACCUGCUAGCUGUGACGUUAACUGAAGAAGAAGCACCGGCUAACUCCGUGCCAGCAGCCGCGGUAAUACGGAGGGUGCAAGCGUUAAUCGGAAUUACUGGGCGUAAAGCGCGCGUAGGUUGAUUGCUAAGCGAGAUGUGAAAGCCCCGGGCUUAACCUGGACUGCAUUUCGAACUUGGUCGUCUAGAGUACAGUAGAGGGUGGCGGAAUUUCCUGUG